CGAGGAGGAACGAACGCUUUGUGACUUCUUUGCUCCUGAGCUGCGCCUUUCUCGAGUCUAGUCUCGAAGGCGUUCCAUGCUGCCCGUGGUGAGCGGGUAGUCCAAGCACGCUGUGCGGCGCCCUACGAAACUCAGGGCAGCGUGUGCUCAGAGGCCAUAUGGGUGUACCUCAGGGGCCUCGUUGACUUGGCGUUUGUUUGGUGCCGGCCCGGUCAGUGCCGUGCAGCUCUCCUGGCUGGAUCAGUGACUUCCCUCUUGGGAGCCCGGUCUGGUGGGUGUGGGGGCUGUUUUAGGAGCUGGUGGUGAGUUUGCGGGUGCAGAGGGACAGAGGGAGAGAGGACCUUCAGCAGGCUCCACCCAGAGCAGGCUGCCUCCCAAGGGCCUUGAUCUCACCAGCCUGAGCUCCUGACCCCAGCUCACAACAAUAGUCAGACGUUUCCCGGACGGCGUCACCGCCCUUCUUGACCAUCAUUCCUCUUUUCUUUGGGCGCAGGAACCACUCUAGGUCCUCGGAGUGAACCUUCUGGGACAGGUGUUGGCGGGAGUCCGGUUGCCACGACCCUGGAAGCUGGCAGCGUGGGCAGGACCGCAGGGGGCCCCGGCUUCACCAGUCCUGGGCGCGUAGCAGGGGGAACCGGCAGCCCGACCGCAAGUGCCAGAGGAGGGACCCCAGGAGGUUCCGAGGGCUUCACAGCAGCACCCGGCAGUGAGAGCACAGGUGGACACUCCGGCGCCCCAGGCACGACCUGGCAGGCAGAGCAGGUAUGCCAAGUCGGGAGCUUCUCCUUUGCACCUCGGGCAAGCGGCCAGUGGCUAAUGCCAGGAGGGAGUCGCUCCUGGUCUGUGGGAGGGCCCGUCCUCAUGAGCCGACUACCCAUGUGUUUGGGGCCAUCAGGGCAGCGUGUCUGUCGCAUUGUCUCUGACGUGAGUAGCUUGCCACUCACUCACUCCUUUGGAGAAGUCUCACGGAAAAGUGUUCUCCAACCACCAUCCCUAUGGAUCCUGUGC
rnacentral:lncRNA from 12 species